rnacentral:rRNA from 1 species
AUUGAACGCUGGCGGCAGGCUUAACACAUGCAAGUCGAGCGGGGAUAGGGUGCUUGCACCUGAUUCCUAGCGGCGGACGGGUGAGUAAUACUUAGGAAUCUGCCUAUUAGUGGGGGAUAACGGCUCGAAAGGGUCGCUAAUACCGCAUACGUCCUACGGGAGAAAGCAGGGGAUCACUUGUGACCUUGCGCUAAUAGAUGAGCCUAAGUCGGAUUAGCUAGUUGGUGGGGUAAAGGCCUACCAAGGCGACGAUCUGUAGCGGGUCUGAGAGGAUGAUCCGCCACACUGGGACUGGGACACGGCCCAGACUCCUACGGGAGGCAGCAGUGGGAAUAUUGGACAAUGGGGGAACCCUGAUCCAGCCAUGCCGCGUGUGUGAAGAAGGCCUUAUGGUCGUAAAGCACUUUAAGCGAGGAGGAGGCUCCCGUAGCUAAUAUCUACGGAGAGUGGACGUUACUCGCAGAAUAAGCACCGGCUAACUCUGUGCCAGCCGCCGCC